rnacentral:rRNA from 1 species
GACGAACGCUGGCGGCGUGCUUAACACAUGCAAGUCGAACGAUGAAGCCGGAGCUUGCUCUGGUGAAUUAGUGGCGAACGGGUGAGUAACACGUGAGUAACCUGCCCUUGACUCUGGGAUAACUGCUAGAAAUGGUAGCUAAUACCGGAUACGACCCUCGGAGGCAUCUCCAGGGGGUGGAAAGAAUUUCGGUCAAGGAUGGACUCGCGGCCUAUCAGCUAGUUGGUGAGGUAACGGCUCACCAAGGCGACGACGGGUAGCCGGCCUGAGAGGGUGACCGGACACACUGGGGCUGAGACACGGCCCAGACUCCUACGGGAGGCAGCAGUGGGGAAUAUUGCACAAUGGGCGCAAGCCUGAUGCAGCAACGCCGCGUGAGGGAUGACGGCCUUCGGGUUGUAAACCUCUUUUAGUAGGGAAGAAGCGGAAGUGACGGUACCUGCAGAAAAAGCACCGGCUAACUACGUGCCAGCCGCCGCAGUAA